AUUGAACGCUGGCGGCAUGCCUUACACAUGCAAGUCGAACGGCAGCACGGGAGCAAUCCUGGUGGCGAGUGGCGAACGGGUGAGUAAUAUAUCGGAACGUGCCCAGUCGUGGGGGAUAACGCAGCGAAAGCUGUGCUAAUACCGCAUACGAUCUAAGGACGAAAGCGGGGGAUCGCAAGACCUCGCGCGAUUGGAGCGGCCGAUAUCAGAUUAGCUAGUUGGUGGGGUAAAGGCCAACCAAGGCGACGAGCUGUAGCUGGUCUGAGAGGACGACCAGCCGCACGGGAACGGAGAAACGGACCAGACUCCUACGGGAGGCAGCAGUGGGGAAUUUUGGACAAUGGGCGCAAGCCUGAUCCAGCAAUGCCGCGUGCAGGAUGAAGGCCUUCGGGUUGUAAACUGCUUUUGUACGGAACGAAACGGCCCUUUCUAAUACAGGGGGCUAAUGACGGUACCGUAAGAAUAAGCACCGGCUAACUACGUGCCAGCAGCCGCCGUAA
rnacentral:rRNA from 1 species